GGGGGAUUUCGAAGAGAAAACGCGUGAUUUUCGCUUAAAUGGGGGAUUCUCGAAGAGAAAACGCGUGAUUUUCGGGUUAAAUGGGAAAUUCUCGAAGAGAAAACGCGUGAUUUUCGGCUUAAAUGGGGGAUUCCCGAAGAGAAAACACGUGAUUUUUGGUUUAAAUGGGGGAUUCCGGAAGAGAAAACGCGUGAUUCUCGCUUAAAUGGGGGAUCUCAAAAAGAAAACGUGUGAUUUUCGGGUUAAAUGGGGGAUUCUCGAAGAGGAAAUGUGUGAUUUUCGCUUAAAUGGUGGAUUGUCGAAGAGAAAACGCGUGAUUUUCAAGUUAAGUGGGGGAUUCUCAAAGAAAAAACGCGUGAUUUUCGCUUAAAUGGGUGAUUCUUGAAGAGAAAACGCGUGAUUUUUGCUUAAGUGGGGGAUUCUCGAAGAAAAAAACGCGUGAUUUUCAGUUAAAUCGCGGAUUCUCGAAGAGAAAACGUGUGAUUUUGGGUUAAAUGGGUGAUUCUCCAGGAGAAAUUGCUUGAUUUUCGCUUAAAUGGGGGAUUCUCAAAGAGAAAACGCAUGAUUUUCGGGUUAAGUGGGGAAUUUCCGAAUUGAAAAUGCAUGAUUUUUGCUUAUAUGGCGGAUUUCCAAAGAGAAAACGUGAUUUUCACUUAAAUUUGGGAUUCUCGAAGAGAAACCACCUGAUUUUUGCUUAAAUGAAGAAUUUGCGAAGAGGAUACGUGGGAUUUUCACUUAAAUGGGGGAUUUGCAAAGAGAAAUCGCGUGAUUUUCGGGUUAAAUGGGGGAUUCUCGAAGAGAAAACGCGUGAUUUUCACUAAAUGGGGGAUUCUCGAAGAGAAAACGCGUGAUUUUCGGGUUUAAAUGGGGGAUUUGUGAAGAGAAAAUGCGUGAUUUUUUGGUUAAAUGGGGGAUUGUCGAAGAGAAAACGCGUGAUUUUUGCUUAAAUGGGGAAUUUCCGAAGAGAAAACGCGUGAUUUGUAAUGGGGAUUUCGAAGAGAAGCGUGAUUUUUAAUGGGGGAUUCUCGAAGAGCAAAUGCGUGAUUUUUUCGCUUAAAUGGGGGAUUGUCGAAGAGAAAACGCGUGAUUUUCGGCUUAAAUGGGGGAUUCUCGAAGAGAAAACGCGUGAUUUUUGUGUUAAGUGGGGGAUUUCUGAAGAGAAAAUGCGUGAUUUUCAGGUAAUCUCGGUGAUUCUCAAAGAGAAAACGCGUGAUUUUGGGGUUAAAUGGGGGAUUCUCGAAGAGAAAACGCGUGAUUUUCGGCUUAAAUGGGGGAUUCCGAAGAGAAAACACGUGAUUUU
ensembl:lncRNA